rnacentral:tRNA from 1 species
GACACUUUGGCCGAGUGGUUAAGGCGCAGGCCUGCUAAGCCUGUGGGUUCGCCCGCCUGGUAUGUUCCACUGCGAUAUUAACAUAAUCAAAUUCACUGCUAACAAUCUACAACAGGGUUCGAAUCCCAGAGGUGUCG